AUCGACUUAGUAUAAGAGUUUAAUACUAGAAAUUGUAAAUUUCUAAAUAGGUUAUUCCUAGUCGAAA
rnacentral:tRNA from 1 species